UUUCAGACCAUGGGCAGCACGACUUCCUGGUUCGAUGGGAACCCCAGCCGCUUGACAGAGUUUCACGAUGGAUUCUCCAGGGCCAUUAUUUACGUUAUGUAUAGCUAAACAACAUUAGCACUGUGUUGCAUACUUGAAGUGGAAGGAGCUGGUAUAUUAGAACCAAGAAAUAAUUUCUGUAGACCAGUUGUGCUGAUAGCUAUGUGAUUAAGUGCGACUUGUAUGGAUAGAUUAAUAGCUGCUGUUCGACGACCACGUUUCUUUGCGAUCACCUCAUUGUAAAGGUUGAACAUUUUUGAAUGGAGGACUGGAAGACAUUUGGGUGUUGAGUCAAAUUUAAUGGAAAAAUUCAGUGCGAACCUGCAAUGUUUAUAAAUGGAGGGCAGUAAAACUUGAAAAUAUGCCGCACAGCUAUAUGUUUUUAUUAGUGCAAAAAAAAGUAGUGCAUGUCUCCUUUCCAGGGAAAUCUAACAUUCUCCUCAAAACUUCCUGAAUGAAGAGUGACUGCAUAUGCA